GCUCUUCUGGAUGAGUUGCGAACGGGUGAGUAACGCGUAGGUAACCUGCCUGGUAGCGGGGGAUAACUAUUGGAAACGAUAGCUAAUACCGCAUAAGAGUAGAUGUUGCAUGACAUUUGCUUAAAAGGUGCAAUUGCACCGCUACCAGAUGGACCUGCGUUGUAUUAGCUAGUUGGUGGGGUAACGGCUCACCAAGGCGACGAUACAUAGCCGACCUGAGAGGGUGAUCGGCCACACUGGGACUGAGACACGGCCCAGACUCCUACGGGAGGCAGCAGUAGGGAAUCUUCGGCAAUGGACGGAAGUCUGACCGAGCAACGCCGCGUGAGUGAAGAAGGUUUUCGGAUCGUAAAGCUCUGUUGUAAGAGAAGAACGAGUGUGAGAGUGGAAAGUUCACACUGUGACGGUAUCUUACCAGAAAGGGACGGCUAACUACGUGCCAGCAGCCGCGGUAAUACGUAGGUCCCGAGCGUUGUCCGGAUUUAUUGGGCGUAAAGCGAGCGCAGGCGGUUAGAUAAGUCUGAAGUUAAAGGCUGUGGCUUAACCAUAGUACGCUUUGGAAACUGUUUAACUUGAGUGCAAGAGGGGAGAGUGGAAUUCCAUGUGUAGCGGUGAAAUGCGUAGAUAUAUGGAGGAACACCGGUGGCGAAAGCGGCUCUCUGGCUUGUAACUG
rnacentral:rRNA from 1 species